CUCUUCUUGAAUAUAUUUUGAUGUAUGGCCUGCCCACUGAAUAUUGAAGGGCCGCGGUAUUUUGACCGUGCAAAGGUAGCAUAAUCAUUAGUCUUUUAAUUGUAGGCUGGAAUGAAUGGUUUGACGAGGUGUUAACUGUCUUUAAUUUUUUUUAUUGAAUUUAAAUUUUAGGUUAAAAUGCCUAAAUAUUUUUUUGGGACGAGAAGACCCUAUAGAGUUUUAUAUAUUUUUAUUUUUUUUGUUUGAUAAUUUUUAAUGUAAAAAUUUAUUUUGUUGGGGUGAUGAGAAGAUUAAAUUAACUCUUUUUGUUUUUUUAUAUUUAUUUAUAUUUAUUUGAUCCAUUUUUAUUGAUUAUAAGACUAAAUUACC
rnacentral:rRNA from 1 species